rnacentral:rRNA from 1 species
UACGUAGGGUGCGAGCGUUGUCCGGAAUUAUUGGGCGUAAAGAGCUUGUAGGCGGUCUGUCGCGUCUGCUGUGAAAAUCCGGGGCUCAACCCCUGACUUGCAGUGGGUACGGGCAGACUAGAGUGUGGUAGGGGAGACUGGAAUUCCUGGUGUAGCGGUGAAAUGCGCAGAUAUCAGGAGGAACACCGAUGGCGAAGGCAGGUCUCUGGGCCACUACUGACGCUGAGAAGCGAAAGCAUGGGGAGCAAACGGG